GACGAACGCUGGCGGCGUGCUUAACACAUGCAAGUCGAACGGAAAGGCCCUGCUUUUGUGGGGUGCUCGAGUGUCGAACGGGUGAGUAACACGUGAGUAACCUGCCCUUGACUUUGGGAUAACUUCAGGAAACUGGGGCUAAUACCGGAUAGGAGCUCCUGCUGCAUGGUGGGGGUUGGAAAGUUUCGGCGGUUGGGGAUGGACUCGCGGCUUAUCAGCUUGUUGGUGGGGUAGUGGCUUACCAAGGCUUUGACGGGUAGCCGGCCUGAGAGGGUGACCGGCCACAUUGGGACUGAGAUACGGCCCAGACGCCUACGGGAGGCAGCAGUGGGGAAUAUUGCACAAUGGGCGGAAGCCUGAGGCAGCAACGCCGCGUGCGGGAUGACGGCCUUCGGGUUGUAAACCGCUUUCGCCUGUGACGAAGCGUGAGUGACGGUAAUGGGUAAAGAAGCACCGGCUAACUACGU
rnacentral:rRNA from 1 species